rnacentral:snoRNA from 1 species
CCCCCCCUUUCAACCCGUGUUCGUGCCGAACACGGGUUGAAAGGGGGGGAGAAAAGAGGUUCUUUAUUGGCGCUCGGUAGUCAGGUGUGUGAGCUACCGGACGCUGAAGCGAUCCGGUGU